CCCAGGCUAUCCUGAGCAGCUCGCCUCUUCGCCGAUCCAGGAGUUGAAGACAGCGUCGCAGCAGCACCGAUUGAUCGCCCUCCUUCCAUUGAUGUAGAGACCACCUGGACGUUCUCUGUUCUUUCUUCAAAGGAUGAUGCUGUAAUGACUUUUUUGUGCCUCCUUUUUUGCUCCAACUUCUUUAGUCGACCUGCCACAAGCUUUGUGUUUGACCUGCUGAUGAGUGCAAUCCGGGAGGAGCAGACCACCACGGCUGCCGGUGAUGCAGGGGGUAGUCAGGAGGUAUUGCAGUAGUGGUGGGGGAAGCCGGUCAGAGGAGGAUCCGCCACGGAGAAGAGCAGUGGGGAGUGACCUGUCAGUGAGGAGGAUCUUGAUUUAUUAGUAAAUUAGUGACAAUAUAUCCAAGUGACUGGCAAUGCUGAGAAGGAUCCACAAAGCUAGCUACACAAGUUGUUAUAACAGCCUGACGCUGUAUUUGAAACAAGAUAGUUAUUGUUGUGAGUGAACGUGUAGUGAGUGAAAUUUGCAUGCCAGAAACCAACCCAAACUAAUCAAAACCUCCAUGACGAAUUCAGGGGACACCAACGCACGCAUGAUUGGGCUUCCAUGUGGCUUCUCAGGCACUACAGAGUUGAGGGUGCACGUUCGCUCGGGGAACAACCUGGACUU
rnacentral:lncRNA from 1 species